rnacentral:tRNA from 1 species
ACCUAGCUGGCUCAGUUGGUAGAGCAUGCAACUCUUGACCUUCAGGUCAUGAGUUAGAACCCCAUGUUGGGUA